UACGUAGGGGGCAAGCGUUGUCCGGAUUUAUUGGGCGUAAAGAGCGUGUAGGCGGCCAGACAGGUCCGUUGUGAAAACUCGAGGCUCAACCUCGAGAUGUCGAUGGAAACCGUCUGGCUAGAGUCCGGAAGAGGAGUGUGGAAUUCCUGGUGUAGCGGUGAAAUGCGUAGAUAUCAGGAGGAAUACCGGUGGUGUAGACGGCUCUCUGGACCGCCACUGACGCUGAGACACGAAAGCGUGGGUAGCAAACAGG
rnacentral:rRNA from 1 species